rnacentral:rRNA from 1 species
CUCAGGAUGAACGCUGGCGGCGUGCUUAACACAUGCAAGUCGAACGGAGUAUUGACGCUGAGGAGUGGAGAGCUUGCUCAAAGCAAAUCUUGUCGAUACUUAGUGGCGGACGGGUGAGUAACGCGUGGGUAACCUGCCGUAUGCAGGGGGACAACAGUUGGAAACGACUGCUAAUACCGCAUAUGCACACAGUACCGCAUGGUACAGGGUGGAAAGAAUUUCGGCAUACGAUGGACCCGCGUCUGAUUAGCUAGUUGGUGAGGUAACGGCCCACCAAGGCGACGAUCAGUAGCCGGCCUGAGAGGGUGAACGGCCACAUUGGGACUGAGACACGGCCCAAACUCCUACGGGAGGCAGCAGUGGGGAAUAUUGCACAAUGGGGGAAACCCUGAUGCAGCGACGCCGCGUGAGUGAAGAAGUAUUUCGGUAUGUAAAGCUCUAUCAGCAGGGAAGAAAAUGACGGUACCUGACUAAGAAGCCCCGGCUAACUACGUGCCAGCCGCUGC